GAUGAAGAACGUAGCGAAAUGCGAUAAGUAAUGUGAAUUGCAGAAUUCAGUGAAUCAUCGAAUCUUUGAACGCACAUUGCGCCCUCUGGUAUUCCGGAGGGCAUGCCUGUUCGAGCGUCAUUGCUGCCCUCAAGCACGGCUUGUGUGUUGGGCCCCGUCCUCCGAUUCCGGGGGACGGGCCCGAAAGGCAGCGGCGGCACCGCGUCCGGUCCUCGAGCGUAUGGGGCUUUGUCACCCGCUCUGUAGGCCCGGCCGGCGCUUGCCGAUCAACCCAAAUUUUUAUCCAGGUUGACCUCGGAUCAGGUAGGGAUACCCGCUGAACUUAAGCAUAUCAAUAAGCGGAGGA
rnacentral:misc_RNA from 1 species